rnacentral:rRNA from 1 species
CACGUAGGGUGCGAGCGUUGUCCGGAAUUAUUGGGCGUAAAGAGCUCGUAGGCGGUGUGUCGCGUCGGCCGUGAAAACCUGCAGCUUAACUGUGGGCUUGCGGUCGAUACGGGCAUCACUGGAGUUCGGCAGGGGAGACUGGAAUUCCUGGUGUAGCGGUGAAAUGCGCAGAUAUCAGGAGGAACACCGGUGGCGAAGGCGGGGUCUCUG